GAUGAACGCUGGCGGCGUGCCUAAUACAUGCCAGUCGAGCGAACAGACGAGGAGCUUGCUCCUCUGACGUUAGCGGCGGACGGGUGAGUAACACGUGGAUAACCUACCUAUAAGACUGGGAUAACUUCGGGAAACCGGAGCUAAUACCGGAUAAUAUAUUGAACCGCAUGGUUCAAUAGUGAAAGACGGUUUUGCUGUCACUUAUAAAUGGAUCCGCGCCGCAUUAGCUAGUUGGUAAGGUAACGGCUUACCAAGGCAACGAUGCGUAGCCGACCUGAGAGGGUGAUCGGCCACACUGGAACUGAGACACGGUCCAGACUCCUACGGGAGGCAGCAGUAGGGAAUCUUCCGCAAUGGGCGAAAGCCUGACGGAGCAACGCCGCGUGAGUGAUGAAGGUCUUCGGAUCGUAAAACUCUGUUAUUAGGGAAGAACAAAUGUGUAAGUAACUAUGCACGUCUUGACGGUACCUAAUCAGAAAGCCACGGCUAACUACGUG
rnacentral:rRNA from 1 species